CCCUCCCUCUCUAAUUAGCCUCCCUCUCUAAUAAGCCUCCUCUAAUUAGCCUCCUUCUCUAAUAAGCCUUCCUCUCUGAUAAGCCCCCUCCCUCUAAUAAGCCUCCCUCUCUAAUGAGCCUCCCUCUCUAAUAAGCACCCUCCCUCUAAUAAGCCUCCAUCUCUAAUAAGCCCACUCUCUAAGAUAACCCCCUCUCUAAUAAUCCCCCUCUCUAAUAAGCCCCCCUCUCUAAUAAGCUCCCUCUCUAAUGAGCUCCCUCUCUAAUAAGCCUCCUUCUCUAAUAAGCCCCUCCCUCUAAUAAGCCUCCCUCUCUAAUUAGCCUCCCUCUCUAAUAAGCCUCCUCUAAUAAGCCUCCCUCUCUGAUAAGCCCCCUCCCUCUAAUAGGCCUCCCUCUCUAAUGAGCCUCCCUUUCUAAUAAGCACCCUCCCUCUAAUUAGCCCCCUCUCUAAUAAGCCCCCUCUCUAAUAAGCCACCUCUCCAAUAAGCCUCCUCUCUCUAAUAAGCCCCCUCUC